CACAGGGCUAUACUUCCAUCAUCUCCAUACUUGCUGGGAGAUUGAGUAAUUGGUGUCUGGAUGUGCGUGUGCUGCUUCCCAAAAUACCUCUUUAAAAAGACGUGAGAGGGAUGCGGAGCCAGUAGGGAUGGCAAAGCUCGCUAUCACGUGGAUCACCCAGACUCCCUCAUUUUACUGGUUCUUCACAGCACCCAGGAAGAUUUUAGAUGGACCUCAAAUACAAAGGCUGUGAGGAGCCCUAUUCGUUGUGUUGACACCACUGAGAGAUUAUUUUUUUCCCAGAGAAGAAAAAGGAGACACACCUGACUUUUAACCUCUUUGAUCCCUUAAAAAGUUAUUUUCCCAGCUGGGUGCAGUAGCUCCUGCCUGUAAUCCCAGCACUUUGGGAGGCCGAGGUGGGUGGAUCACCUGAGGUCGGGAGUUCAAGACCAGCCUGGUCAGCAUGGUGAAACCCCGUCUCUACUGAAAAUACAAAAAUUAGCUGGGCAUGGUGGUGCAUGCCCAUAAUCCCAGCUACUUGGAAGGCUGAGGCAGGAGAAUCACUUGAAUCACUUGAGCCCUGCAGGUGGAGGUUGCAGUGAGCCAAGAUUACACCAUUGCACUCCAGCCUGGGUGACAGAGCGAGACUUCAUCUCAAAAAAAAAAAAAAAAAAAAGAGAGAGAAAAAAAGUUAUUUCCCCUUGUGCCAAGAAUGAGAUGAAGCCUGGAGAACAGGGUAAAGCAUUGGCUUCCGUAUCUUUCAAAUUGUCCCGAGUGAUUCUGAUCCACAGUGAAAACUGAAAACUGUUCUAAUAUUCACCUUGCCGGAAAAGUAAGACUAUGUGAAGUGAACCCUCCUUCAAAUUGGAGAAGGAAGCUUUGAGAUUUCCAGGGAAGAUGGAAGACAGAACAGCUUGAGCCAUUUGGGUGCGGUGUAGAACUGGAAAUUGUGUCAAGGUUGACUGAGCCCUGUUUCUGGUCUAAGAAAGUUAAAACUUGUAUUCAAAAUGGAUAUCAAGACAACAUAAAAUGAAAUGACUGAUUUUGAAGAUUGAGAAUUAGGAAUAUUGUACAGAUGCUGUCAUUCCUACAUGAAGGAGGCAGAAGAAUGUAGCAAGCUCAGCUCUCUAAUGCCAGGAGUGGCACUUUCAGUGACCAGAGCUCCCUGGGUCCUCUGUGUAUCCCUCCCCUGUCAACUGAUUCAACAGAGGCUGGGCUGGUCCUGGCAUUAGCACAUUUUUGAAUCUGCCUUUGGCUGUGACUUCACCCAAAGACAGAAAGGGGAAGUUUCUGGUCUACAUAGCCAACAUGUGGUCUUGAUAAUAAAUCAUUGCUUGUUUGGAAGAAUUUGGUCUGAGCCUUACUUUUAUUGUAAAACACUACCUGUAGAUGGCAGAUGGGGCAUGGGACCUUUAGGCCUUAUCCAGCUCUAAACAUGGGAGGCUACCAAAGACUCUGACGUUUGGCAAAUGGCCAAAUUUGCAGAGAU
rnacentral:lncRNA from 1 species